UAAUACGGAGGAUCCUAGCGUUAUCCGGAUUUAUUGGGUUUAAAGGGUGCGCAGGCGGAAUGGUAAGUCAGUGGUGAAAUCCUACAGCUCAACUGUAGAACUGCCAUUGAUACUGCUGUUCUUGAGUAUAGCUGAAGUGGGCGGAAUGUGUCAUGUAGCGGUGAAAUGCUUAGAUAUGACACAGAACACCAAUUGCGAAGGCAGCUCACUAAACUAUAACUGACGCUCAUGCACGAAAGCGUGGGGAUCAAACAGGAUUAGAUACCCUGGUAGUCCACGCUGUAAACGAUGAUCACUCGAUGCUGGCGAUAUACAGUCAGCGUCUUAGCGAAAGUGUUAAGUGAUCCACCUGGGGAGUACGAUCGCAAGGUUGAAACUCAAAUGAAUUGACGG
rnacentral:rRNA from 1 species